GGUAAACCUGAGAAACCCAAAAGAUCGAAUGAGGAGAUUCAUCGUCAGCUCAUUUUGUAUAUGUAUAAGUUAUGAUGUGAGUUACUCNUUGUAGUAUUGCUUGUACAUACUUGUGCAUUUAUUUGCAAGAUGUUGUCGGCGUGCACUUCUCCUCUAGUAGGACGUCGCGACCCGUUGGGUGUCGGUCUACGACCCGAGUNGGGAGACUUNUAAUAUUUUNAUUAUAUUAAAGACCCUUGGUGUUUUCUGACCGGCUGCCCGGCGGUACUCGUACGGUAUUUAGCCGCAUUUANUNUUGCGUCCAUGUCCAUCGCAAGCGAGGCUAAUUUCUGGUAGUACGGACCUAGUGCCGUCGCUGGAGUUGGCCAGCUGUUGGUUGUAUGGAAUUCUAGGACUGGC
rnacentral:rRNA from 1 species